UACGGAGGAUCCAAGCGUUAUCCGGAUUUAUUGGGUUUAAAGGGUGCGUAGGCGGAAUUGUAAGUCAGUGGUGAAAGCCCGCAGCUCAACUGCGGAACUGCCAUUGAUACUGCAAAUCUUGAGUACAUUUGAUGUGGGCGGAAUGUGUCGUGUAGCGGUGAAAUGCUUAGAUAUGACACAGAACACCGAUUGCGAAGGCAAUCCCCUGGGCCUGCACUGACGCUCAUGCACGAAAGCGUGGGGAGCAAACAGG
rnacentral:rRNA from 1 species